rnacentral:tRNA from 1 species
CAAGACAUAGUUUAAGAUUAAAAUAAUAAUUUUGGAGAUUAUUGAUAAGUAUAAAAUUUUUGUUUUGA